rnacentral:rRNA from 1 species
UACGUAGGGUGCAAGCGUUGUCCGGAAUUAUUGGGCGUAAAGAGCUCGUAGGCGGUCUGUCGCGUCGGCUGUGAAAUCCCGAGGCUCAACCUCGGGUCUGCAGUCGAUACGGGCAAACUAGAGUAUUGCAGGGGAGACUGGAAUUCCUGGUGUAGCGGUGAAAUGCGCAGAUAUCAGGAGGAACACCGGUGGCGAAGGCGGGUCUCUGGGCCGAUACUGACGCUGAGGAGCGGAAAGCGUGGGGAGCGAACAGG